rnacentral:lncRNA from 1 species
GGAAAAAUAAGCACUACAAUGUUUGGGGGCCAUUUUUAACUCAUUGUUUAGAGUUAUAUAUUAGAACUUCUACAUGUCAGCCAGAUGUCUUGUGAUAUAUAUUAUGAAAUGGUUUAAUGUGACAUUGUGGAGUUAAUGUAGUCCUGACUGAAUAGAAAUAAUGCCAAUUUGCCAAUUCUAAUGUUUGACUUUUAAUGGUUAUAAUAUGACUAUAAAAUAAGAGUAAGCAGUUAACUGUUUAACUCCAAUGCAUAAAAGCAGCACCUAGACAUAUUUAUAAGGGAUUAAUGGUUAUUUGUUAUCUUUAUAAAUUUUUAUUGGGAAAAUACUGAUUGAUAAUAAUUUAGAUUCGUAGACCAUGCUAAUAUGACAAUCUUAAUUACAUGAGCAAGUUAAGAUAUUGCACUUAGACCACAGGGAGACUUUUUUUUUUAAUGUGUGACAAAUUCCUGAGAUAAAUAUUUAUUCUUUUCUAAUAGGUUUGUUUUGUUUUUGCUUUGUUCUUUGUGCAAAAUAUAUUUUUUGGAAUCUAUUAACCUCUUCUUACCUGCAUACUUGAACUUUUUUGUUGUUGUUGCUGUUGGAGAAUUCAUAAUUCAGGAAUGGGGAGGGAGGGGCAAGGGGUGCAAGAAGGAGAAGGAAAGUUAUACCAAAAGUAGGUUUCCAACUUAAAACCUUAAAAGUGAACAUAUCAUGAAAAUUCAAUUGAAAUCCAGGGUGUAUCAAUCAAGAGUACUUCUAAGCAACCUUAAGCUGCAUGCUAAUAGCAUAUUCUCUUGGUUAUACAAUUUUAUUUUGAUGUUUGCUGAAACUUACAAAAAAAAAUGUGUAGCCACUAGAAUAAUUUGAUCUAUAUUUUGCUAUUUAUACUACCUCUUCUCUACAGAAGACAGCCUCUCUUUAAGAAAAAAAAAUCUACCGAUAAGUAGUUGAGAUCUUUAUUAUUGCUAACCUUGCUAUAAAAUUAAAUGCAUUUUAUAUGCUUAGUUCUACUGUUUUCCUCUAAAUCUUAAAGCUCUGUUCCAAACUAGCUUGUUUCAUAUUUCUUUCCUUCCUCCCUAAGGUACUUUGCAUGUAGUAAAAGGUUACCUUUAGACUCCAGAUCAUCUUGAUGAGCUAAUCCUCAUAGGAAGGGAAGGGAUGAACAUUGAUUAGAUAGCUUACUUUUGUGUAAUUACUGGACUGCUCCCCUGCAAAAGAAAAGCAUUUGUAGGUCCAAAGUAUUUUUCAUAUUCUAAAUCUUUAUGUUCUGCUUGAUUGCAAAUUCAGAGCUUUCUGGACUUUUUAUUGCUCUUGUUAACAUUUAGAGCAUACAUUAACCAUUUACUGUGUAAGGCUUUAUAUAAUCUUGGGGUGCCCAUUUUAUCAAAACACACUACACAUAUACAGAAACUUUCCAG